AUACGGAGGGUGCAAGCGUUAAUCGGAAUUACUGGGCGUAAAGCGCGCGUAGGCGGCUGAUUAAGUCGGAUGUGAAAUCCCUGGGCUCAACCUAGGGACUGCAUCCGAUACUGGUCAGCUAGAGUUUUGGAGAGGUAAGUGGAAUUUCCGGUGUAGCGGUGAAAUGCAUAGAGAUCGGAAGGAACACCAGUGGCGAAGGCGACUUACUGGCCAAAAACUGACGCUGAGGUGCGAAAGCGUGCGUAGCGAACAGGAUUAGAAACCCUAGUAGUCC
rnacentral:rRNA from 1 species